rnacentral:lncRNA from 1 species
AUGAAAUUCGGAAUAAUGGAGCAGAACCUUCAGCCGCCGCAUCUCCUCGGCCCAUUGUGCUUCUCGCGUGUGAUGCUGCUCUGCCGUGCAGCGACACAAAGAGCUGCAGGACGGGUGGGGGUUCCCUGUGUCUCUGCUCCUGGGGCCGAUAAAUUUCAGCCCAUCACGAGGAGUGCCAUGAUACGAGCACAGCGAUACGGGAAAACUCAGCAAGCGCUUGGCGUUCGCUUCGGAUUUCUGCAGCGUUCACACAUGCGCCAACGCUUCCACCAGAUGAGGACUUUCCUUCCCCACGGAUCAAAGCCCACCGGGGCAGAGCGGUACUUCCCGAACCAGAUUUGUCUGAACUGGAAGACGACCCCUGCAGCAUCACCACCUCGUCACCUCCCGCAAUUAAACACCGCUGGGCUAACGGCAUCCAGGUGGGGAGCCCCGGGCCGCGCAGCUGGAGCGGUGACAGUGACACUGGAGAACCCGGUGCAUCCUCCUCCACCGAUAAUUUCUAACUGGAGCCAGCAGCACCCCGCUGGGAUGAGAAGCAAAAUUCCCCCUGUGCUGUUACCGCCCUGGUCAGACUGGGACCGAUCCCAACUGCAGCCAGAGCCUUGGACUGGAGGACCGAACCCGCACUGCUCCGGCUGUCCAAAAUCUGUCGUGGCCAUCCGUCUGUCCGCAGGCACCUCCCCAGCCCUGCUCAGCCUCACACCUCGCGGAGCAGCUGCUGGUCCCCAGCACCGAGCUGGCUGAUGUGGGGCGAUGGUUAUGCAGAGCUGGCUGCUUCGUAAGGCCCUCGGAGGCGAGCGGAGCGCUCGGAGGAAGAGAAAAUUAUUGUUCCUGGUUUCACACUCAGCUGAGUUUCCAUUCCACGCAUUCCUCCUUACUCACUCUCCCUUAAUCACCGCAGAUGUUGACAUCAGAUACAGGCUGACGGAGCGGAGCUUAGCGAGAACAUGACUUAUGUUUGAAGAAAUUCCUCCCAGAAUAUUUCAGGCUUCUGAUUUUCGACUAUAUUUGGUGUGGAGCGAGCAGAAGCCACUCCAGCAUUGCGGGGUGCCUGGGGCUGAGGCCGCGGUGCCCAGACCGCCCUGGGAGCCGCAGGCAAAGCCCCCAACCUCGCGUUUCUCUGGGAUUUUUACCAAGAGGAAAGCAGCCGGCAGCACCGACCUCAUGCAGCGUUCCCGACCCCACAACCCCUCUCCUUUCUGUGCCUCAUCCUCCCCAAAGUCUCUCCCACCAGCUCCAGCGCGCCCGUGGGUGCCUGUGCUGGGCCCUGUCCUCUGCCACCCACCCCUGCUGGUGCCGUGGGUGAGGGAUGGGGCGCUGGCGGCCGUCCCCGUUGGAGGUGUUUCAGGUGUUUAUUGCUCACGAGGAAAAAGUGCUCUGGGACAGGCCAGGGCCCCAAAAACCUCAUCCUCUAGGAGGCCGACACACACGGCCUGCCAAGCGUCUGCGCGUGGAAAUCUCCCACGGAGAUUUCCAUCGGAUGAAAAACGUUUCUUUGGUGCGCUGAGAUGAACGCAGACCUCAGGGAGGUGUGGGGGGCACCCAAGGGAGGCUGAGCCCCCGUGCGGCUGCUCGGGCACCCUCCAGGCUGGGUCAGGGACCCCGAUGCCUCCUCUGUGGCUGCCCUCACGCCACGAUUUUGCCACCUCCUCGUCCUCCUGCAGGAUGCCCGGCACCCCUCCGAGGAGCGGGGUUUGCCCCCCAGGGGCAAUGGGACGCAUGUUCUGGCUCAGUACAGACACUACAGGUGCGCUCGCCCCCUCCCGUGUCAUUCCUCCUUUUUAUUUCACCUCUUUGAAUGCUUUUCCCCCCAAAAAAAAAAAAAAAAAAAAAAAAAAAAAAAAAAAAANNNNNNNNNNNNNNNNNNNNNNNNNNNNNNNNNNNNNNNNNNNNNNNNNNNNNNNNNNNNNNNNNNNNNNNNNNNNNNNNNNNNNNNNNNNNNNNNNNNNAAAAAAAAAGUGCUUUCCAAAACAGAACCCAAAUCCCGGACCUUGGAAGUGCUCAACCCAAGGGGCUAAGCCACAUUGGGGGGGGGGGCAGGACCCUUCGCCUCCCUCCCCGCAGCAUCCCUCAGUGGGGCAGCGGGCGUGCGGUGUCCCCCCCCUACCCCAUCUCCCCUCCGUCACCCCCCAGCAGUGCCGCCCCCGCGCUGCUCCCUCCUCCGGCGUGGGGAGCUGCUCGUUUCUGAGGCUUUUCCAGAAGGAUCCGAGCGAGCUGAGCCGGGUAGCAGCUGCAGGAGAGAAAGGAGACGCUCGUGUGAGCUGCGCCCCGGGAUGGGGGGGCUGCACGAGCAAGCACAGGCAGCAGCAGCUCCCCCCCCCAAACAAGCACAGGGAGCCCCCCGGCUGAUUAUGGGGGGCACCAGGACCCCCCCAGCUCCUCCACGCUGAUGCAACCCGGAUCGCUCCUUGCGUCUCCCCAGCGCUGUUCCCUUUCUUCCCCUCGCGGGGACAAAAGCCGCGGGAGGGAAGGGGCCGAGGAGCCCCCCCCCAGGGCCUUGGAAACCCAAGGCCGGUGCCCUGCUGCCAGCACCCAGCAGGGAAAGGCUGCGCUGGGGCCCGGCUGCUGCAGCCAGGCAGGGGGAGCAGGAGCUGACGGCAAUAAUAAAAUAAAUUAUAACCCCCCCCUUCUCCCCCCC